rnacentral:rRNA from 1 species
AUGGAGGGCAGAGAUGAUGUCAAAUCAGAAGAGAUCCUCAUGCCUGGGUUCCGGUUCCAUCCUACCGAUGAAGAGCUGGUUAGUUUCUACCUCAAGAAGAAGAUCCAGCAGAAGCCCAUCUCCAUUGAACUCAUCAGGCAGCUGGACAUCUACAAGUUUGAUCCAUGGGACCUCCCAAAGCUUGCGAACACUGGCGGUGAGACGGAGUGGUACUUCUACUGCCCAAGGGACCGGAAAUAUCGAAACAGCGCGAGGCCAAACCGAGUUACAGCAGCUGGGUUCUGGAAGGCCACUGGAACAGAUAGGCCGAUUUACUCCUCCAAGGGCACCAGGUGUGUAGGCCUGAAGAAGUCACUGGUAUUCUACAAAGGCAGAGCAGCAAGAGGAAUCAAAACCGACUGGAUGAUGCAUGAGUUCAGGCUUCCUUCGCUUGCCGAUCCAUCACUUCCCAAGAGACCAAUCGACAAGACCAUCCCACUCAACGACUCUUGGACCAUAUGUAGGAUCUUCAAGAAGACCAGCUCGAUGGCGGCGCAACGGACGCUGACUCACACUUGGGAGCCUCCAUUGCCUGGGGCAACUAAGCAAGAUCUCUUCUCCGCCAUGCAAGCUUCUCAUUUUGCUUCAGAGAGCUCCUCCAGCUCAUUGCAAGUUGCAGCCACGGCACCAUCAAGUCAGUUCGACAGGAAAUAUGGCUUCCAAGGACAGCAGCAGUUUCAGAAACCCAACAACACACAGGAGGGUGGCUCUUCAUGCAAGGUCAUAAGCUUCAACUGCAGUCCAUCUCCACAAAUUCUGAAAGGCCCCAUCAUCUUGCCAUUCCAAACACAGCCGCCAUCACAGAAGCCCGUGCCACACACUGCACCACCAUUCUUCAUCGGGACGCAGUUUGGGCAGCCUGAGCAGAUCACUGGUUUUGUGACUGGUUCUUCUGAAGAUGUAAAUGCCGAAAUGAGCUGCAGGGACCAAGAGUCAUCCACAAUGAAGCAUGGUGAUACUUCCCGCAUGAAGAAUGAGUGGGAGGCUCCGGGGAGACUCAACUUCCCAUUCGAUUUAGGAGCAGACUCUUCAGAUGACUGGGAGUGCAACAUACCUUGGGAAUCCUUUCUUAGCCCAACAGUCCCUGCUGAGAUCACACAGUAUUAG